AUACGGAGGGGGCUAGCGUUGUUCGGAUUUACUGGGCGUAAAGCGCACGUAGGCGGAUUGAUUAGUUAGGGGUGAAAUCCCGAGGCUCAACCUCGGAACUGCCUUUAAUACUGUCAAUCUCGAGACCGGAAGAGGUGAGUGGAACUCCUAGUGUAGAGGUGGAAUUCGUAGAUAUUAGGAAGAACACCAGUGGCGAAGGCGGCUCACUGGUCCGGUACUGACGCUGAGGUGCGAAAGCGUGGGGAGCGAACAGGAUUAGAUACCCUAGUAGUCC
rnacentral:rRNA from 1 species